CUACUUACCUGGCAGGGGUGACACCAUGAUCAAGAAGGUGGUUUGCCCAAGGCGAGGCUCUGUCAUUGCACCCUGACCGUGCUGACCCUUGUGAAUUCUCAACUGCAUAAUUUGUGGUAGUGUGGGACUCUCCCCUG
rnacentral:snRNA from 1 species